UACGUAGGUCCCGAGCGUUGUCCGGAUUUAUUGGGCGUAAAGCGAGCGCAGGUGGUUUAUUAAGUCUGGUGUAAAAGGCAGUGGCUCAACCAUUGUAUGCAUUGGAAACUGGUAGACUUGAGUGCAGGAGAGGAGAGUGGAAUUCCAUGUGUAGCGGUGAAAUGCGUAGAUAUCACGCAGAACCCCGAUUGCGAAGGCAGCAUACCGGCGCCCGACUGACGCUGAAGCACGAAAGCGUGGGUAUCGAACAGG
rnacentral:rRNA from 1 species